rnacentral:lncRNA from 1 species
UAAAGUCUAACACAAUUCAACCAGAUAAUGUCACAUACCAUUUAUCAAAUAUAUGCGCAUUUACCCUAAUGUAUCUAAUGCCAAUCAUUCUAUGUCAUGUCAUCCCUAGACACGACUAAUGCAUGUGGUACCAAUUGCCUCUUACCCCUCAUGGAUAAGUUAAACAGUUUUACAUCUUGCAGGAUUGUUCGGAACUUACCAAACCUUCAUAUCCCUCAUGGAUAAGUUAAACAGUUUUAUAUCCUGCUGGAUAGCAGCUCUAGAUCUUAUGGAUUCAUCUAAUCCGAUCCUCGGCUUCCUUAUGGACUCAAAAAUCCAUUUAAAUCUAUUGGAACCCAAGUUUCCAAUUCAACAUAUAUAUGCAUGAAUGCAUGUAUGUUUGCACAUAUCAUCAAUAUGAUAUUUCUAGCUCGAAGCUACUCAUUAUGAAUGCGG